AAUAGGGUCGGAAAGUCUCGUCACGUGACUCGCGAGAUUUUACGAUAAUUUUUCACUUCCGGGCAGCUGACACAUUAGAGUUGUGUAUUGUUUAAGCAUGUUUCUGGUUUAUACAGAGCUUUCGAGAAAAAAUUAAGUAGUUUUACAAAGCAGAAGGGUUCUCCGACUUACGAUGGAUGAAUUGCGUGCCAUAAAAGCUUGGAUGCGAGUGUGAACGAGGAAAAUUUCGAUCAAAGUACAGAGGACGAUAAUGUUAUUAUCAGCUGAUUACAGAGGAGGAGUUUUGUCAGUGUCCGAUGGGUACAAACGUCAUAUUGUGGCUGCAUCACUUUUGUUUGGCAGAUGUACAGGUGAACGUGGUUGAGGAACACAGCUGAAAGAUGCAGUUGCUUUAAGCAGUACCUAAGACUUUGAUCAAUAUUCUUCAAAAUGCAAAUCAAAUACAGGUUAUUGUCUGCACAUCUUGCAGUGGAUGUUUUGAUCGAGAACUUAUCGAGCAUGAAGACCAGCCAUGUACCUAUCCUGUCAUGACAUUAUUAAAGUACUCUGUGAUAGUUGGAAAAUGUAAUUUAAAACAUGACAUGGCUCUAUGUUACUGCAUCAGAUAUCGAUCCAAGUUUACUUAUAAACCGAAGGAAAA